rnacentral:rRNA from 1 species
GAUGAACGCUGGCGGCGUGCCUAAUACAUGCAAGUCGAGCGAACAGACGAGGAGCUUGCUCCUCUGACGUUAGCGGCGGACGGGUGAGUAACACGUGGAUAACCUACCUAUAAGACUGGGAUAACUUCGGGAAACCGGAGCUAAUACCGGAUAAUAUAUUGAACCGCAUGGUUCAAUAGUGAAAGACGGUUUUGCUGUCACUUAUAGAUGGAUCCGCGCCGCAUUAGCUAGUUGGUAAGGUAACGGCUUACCAAGGCAACGAUGCGUAGCCGACCUGAGAGGGUGGCCGACCACACUGGAACUGAGACACGGUCCAGACUCCAACAGGAGGCAGCAGUAGGGAAUCUUCCGCAAUGGGCGAAAGCGUGACGGAGCAACGCCGCGUGAGUGAUUAAGGUCUUCGGAUCGUAAAACUCUGUUAUUAGGGAAGAACAAAUGUGUAAGUAACUAUGCACGUCUUGACGGUACCUAAUCAGAAAGCCACGGCUAACUACGUG